rnacentral:rRNA from 1 species
GAUGAACGCUGGCGGCGUGCCUAAUACAUGCAAGUCGAGCGAACAGACGAGGAGCUUGCUCCUCUGACGUUAGCGGCGGACGGGUGAGUAACACGUGGAUAACCUACCUAUAAGACUGGGAUAACUUCGGGAAACCGGAGCUAAUACCGGAUAAUAUAUUGAACCGCAUGGUUCAAUAGUGAAAGACGGUUUUGCUGUCACUUAUAGAUGGAUCCGCGCCGCAUUAGCUAGUUGGUAAGGUAACGGCUUACCAAGGCAACGAUGCGUAGCCGACCUGAGAGGGUGAUCGGCCACACUGGAACUGAGACACGGUCCAGACUCCUACGGGAGGCAGCAGUAGGGAAUCUUCCGCAAUGGGCGAAAGCCUGACGGAGCAACGCCGCGUGAGUGAUGAAGGUCUUCGGAUCGUAAAACUCUGUUAUUAGGGAAGAACAAAUGUGUAAGUAACUAUGCACGUCUUGACGGUACCUAUCAGAAAGCCACGGCUAACUACGUG